rnacentral:rRNA from 1 species
GCACAAGCGGUGGAGCAUGUGGUUUAAUUCGAUGCAACGCGAAAAACCUUACCUGCCCUUGACAUGUCAGGAAUCUUCCAGAGAUGGGGGAGUGCCUUCGGGAGCCUGAACACAGGUGCUGCAUGGCUGUCGUCAGCUCGUGUCGUGAGAUGUUGGGUUAAGUCCCGCAACGAGCGCAACCCUUGUCACUAGUUGCCAUCAUUUGGUUGGGCACUCUAGUGAGACUGCCGGUGACAAACCGGAGGAAGGUGGGGAUGACGUCAAGUCCUCAUGGCCCUUAUGGGUAGGGCUUCACACGUCAUACAAUGGUCGGUACAGAGGGUUGCCAAGCCGCGAGGUGGAGCCAAUCCCUUAAAGCCGAUCGUAGUCCGGAUCGUAGUCUGCAACUCGACUGCGUGAAGUCGGAAUCGCUAGUAAUCGUGGAUCAGCAUGUCACGGUGAAUACGUUCCCGGGUCUU